CCUACGGGAGGCAGCAGUGGGGGAUAUUGCUCAAUGGGGGAAACCCUGAUGCAGCGACGCCGCGUGUGGGAAGACGGUCCUCUGGAUUGUAAACCACUGUUCCCAGGGACGAAGAUGACGGUACCUGGGGAGGAAGCUCCGGCUAACUACGUGCCAGCAGCCGCGGUAAUACGUAGGGAGCGAGCGUUGUCCGGAAUUACUGGGUGUAAAGGGAGCGUAGGCGGGGAUGAAAGUUGGGUGUCAAAACUACCGGCUCAACUGGUAGUCGCAGUCGAAACUGCAGCUCUUGAGUGAAGUAGAGGCAGGCGGAAUUCCUAGUGUAGCGGUGAAAUGCGUAGAUAUUAGGAGGAACCCCAGUGGCGAAGGCGGCCUGCUGGGCUCUUACUGACGCUGAGGCACGAAAGUGUGGGGAGCGAACAGGAUUAGAUACCCGGGUAGUC
rnacentral:rRNA from 1 species